CCUACGGGGCGCAGCAGUAGGGAAUUUUCCACAAUGGGCGAAAGCCUGAUGGAGCAACGCCGCGUGGGUGAAGAAUGUCUUCGGAUCGUAAAACCCUUUUUUUAGAGGAGAAAGGGCGUGAGAGUGACGGUUCACGUUUCUACGGUAUCUAACCAGACAGCCACGGCUAACUACGUCCCAGCAGCCGCGGUACUACGUAGGUGGCAAGUGUGAUCCGGAUUUAUUGGGCGUAAGGGGAGCGCAGGCGGUCGUUUAAGUCUGAUGUGAAAGCGUUCGGCUUAACCGGGGUAGUGCAUGGGAAACUGGGAGACUUGAGUGCAGAAGAGGAGAGUGGAACUCCAGGUGUAGCGGUGAAAUGCGUAGAUAUAUGGAAGAACCCCAGUGGCGAAGGCGGCUUUCUGGACUGUAACUGACGCUGAGGUUCGAAAGCGUGGGUAGCAAACAGGAUUAGAUACCCUAGUAGUC
rnacentral:rRNA from 1 species